rnacentral:rRNA from 1 species
AGUGAACGCUGGCGGUAGGCCUAACACAUGCGAGUCGAACGGCAGCACAGUAAGAGCUUGCUCUUACGGGUGGCGAGUGGCGGACGGGUGAGGAAUACAUCGGAAUCUACUUUUUCGUGGGGGAUAACGUAGGGAAACUUACGCUAAUACCGCAUACGACCUACGGGUGAAAGCAGGGGAUCUUCGGACCUUGCGCGAUUGAAUGAGCCGAUGUCGGAUUAGCUAGUUGGCGGGGUAAAGGCCCACCAAGGCGACGAUCCGUAGCUGGUCUGAGAGGAUGAUCAGCCACACUGGAACUGAGACACGGGCCAGACUCCUACGGGAGGCAGCAGUGGGGAAUAUUGGACAAUGGGCGCAAGCCUGAUCCAGCCAUACCGCGUGGGUGAAGAAGGCCUUCGGGUUGUAAAGCCCUUUUGUUGGGAAAGAAAAGCAGCAGGUUAAUACCCCGCUGUUCUGACGGUACCCAAAGAAUAAGCACCGGCUAACUUCGUG